GACGAACGCUGGCGGCGUGCUUAACACAUGCAAGUCGAACGGAAAGGCCCUGCUUUUGUGGGGUGCUCGAGUGGCGAACGGGUGAGUAACACGUGAGUAACCUGCCCUUGACUUUGGGAUAACUUCAGGAAACUGGGGCUAAUACCGGAUAGGAGCUCCUGCUGCAUGGUGGGGGUUGGAAAGUUUCGGCGGUUGGGGAUGGACUCGCGGCUUAUCAGCUUGUUGGUGGGGUAGUGGCUUACCAAGGCUUUGACGGGUAGCCGGCCUGAGAGGGUGACCGGCCACAUUGGGACUAAGAUACGGCCCAGACUCCUACGGGAGGCAGCAGUGGAGAAUAUUGCACAAUGGGCGGAAGCCUGAUGCAGCAACGCCGCGUGCGUGAUGACGGCCUUCGGGUUGUAAACCGCUUUCGCCUGUGACGAAGCGUGAGUGACGGUAAUGGGUAAAGAAGCACCGGCUAACUACGUG
rnacentral:rRNA from 1 species